rnacentral:rRNA from 1 species
UACGUAGGGGGCAAGCGUUGUCCGGAAUCAUUGGGCGUAAAGCGCGCGCAGGCGGUUUCUUAAGUCUGAUGUGAAAGCCCACGGCUUAACCGUGGAAGGUCAUUGGAAACUGGGAGACUUGAGUGCAGAAGAGAAGAGCGGAAUUCCACGUGUAGCGGUGAAAUGCGUAGAGAUGUGGAGGAACACCAGUGGCGAAGGCGGCUCUGUGGUCUGUAACUGACGCUGAGGCGCGAAAGCGUGGGGAUCAAACAGG